rnacentral:rRNA from 1 species
CCUACGGGAGGCAGCAGUCGGGAAUAUUGCGCAAUGGAGGAAACUCUGACGCAGUGACGCCGCGUGCAGGAAGAAGGUUUUCGGAUUGUAAACUGCUUUAGACAGGGAAGAAAAAAGACAGUACCUGUAGAAUAAGCUCCGGCUAACUACGUGCCAGCAGCCGCGGUAAUACGUAGGGAGCAAGCGUUAUCCGGAUUUAUUGGGUGUAAAGGGUGCGUAGACGGAGAAGCAAGUUAGUUGUGAAAUCCCUCGGCUUAACUGAGGAACUGCAACUAAAACUACUUCCCUUGAGUACUGGAGAGGAAAGUGGAAUUCCUAGUGUAGCGGUGAAAUGCGUAGAUAUUAGGAAGAACACCAGUGGCGAAGGCGGCUUUCUGGACUGAAACUGACGCUGAGGCACGAAAGCGUGGGGAGCGAACAGGAUUAGAUACCCUUGUAGUC